rnacentral:rRNA from 1 species
UGAGGAAUCUUCCACAAUGGACGAAAGUCUGAUGGAGCAAUGCCGCGUGCAGGAAGACGCUUUUCGGAGUGUAAACUGCUUUUCUGAAGGAAGAUUAUGACGGUACUUCAGGAAUAAGGAUCGGCUAACUACGUGCCAGCAGCCGCGGUAAUACGUAGGAUCCAAGCGUUAUCCGGAAUUAUUGGGCGUAAAGCGUGCGCAGACGGUUUGAUAGGUCUUAUGUGAAAUCCGGUGGCUCAACCACCUGGACUGUAUGAGAAACCAUCUGACUAGAGGUAGGUAGAGGCAAGUGGAAUUUCUGGUGUAGGGGUGACAUCCGUAGAUAUCAGAAGGAACACCAAUGGCGAAGGCAGCUUGCUGGGCCUUACCUGACGUUCAGGCACGAAAGCGUGGGGAGCAAACAGG